AUGCAAACACAGCUGGAGCCACAGAUUCGAAACCUGGGUUCAUCCUCCCCUUCACCACCUAACUCCUCCUCAUCCCCAUCAUGUGUCGCUGCUCUGUCGUCUUCGUGUUCUUCAACUUAUGCAAAUUCCACAUGGGGGGCAGGCUCUGGCAGCCACUCCUCCUCUCAGGGCUGCGGGAAGGUGAUUGUGGAUGGGACUGACCUGGAAGAUUGGCCUAGUAUCCUAAGUGGGGCCAAAAUGAGUUCUGAUGGGGCAGGAGGUCCAGGGGUGUCUGAACUAGACUACCCUGGUAACAACAACAACAGUAGUGCCUCAUGGAGUGAGAGAAACAUCCAGCAGAAGGGAGGAGCAGCAGCAGCAGUAGGAGGAGGAGCAGGGAACAUGGACAAUCCUUCCCCACCUUGUUCUUCUCCCCUCUCCUCCUCAUCCUCGCUUAAUGAAUGUGUUCAGUCAAGCGCAGUUGUGUGGGGCUCCCCCACCUCCUCUCAGGUGGAGGCAGGGCUUGGAUCAGCAGCAUUUUACAAUUCCAAAGUCUCCCAUCUUCUUCCUGGGCCUCAGGAGAGCCCUGUUGGUGGAAACAGCAGUGUCCCUGGUGCCAAUUUCAGCCCCAAUAUGAACCCCUCUGCCUGGCCUGCCCUGGUGGGGCCACAACAAACUGGGGCCACAACUUCGGCUAGCAACAGCCUUCCUCUGCACUCAUCCAUUACUUCAGCUCCCUCAUUUUCUGCCAGCACCACACUCAUCACCACUCAUACUCUCUCAUCUGUGAAUCAAGCCAGUCCCCAUCAGCAGCACACUGACACAGCUGCUGGAACCAGGAGUGGAGAACAGCAACAGCACUUGGGGAACCCUGUUGGGCCCGAGCUGGGUUCAGGUGAAGGAGUACAAGGAGCUGGAGCUGGAGCUGGACCAAAUAAAGAUUGUGGUGAUGAAGGGGACAGUGGGCUUGCCGGUGUCGAAGGAGAAGAGACUGGUAACCCCUCUGGCUCCAUGUCUUCCUCCUCCGCUGCCUCCUCUUCAUGGAGAUCGAUGCCUCCAGUGUCCUCUGACCUCAGUGCAGGUGCCUCCCAGGCAGAAGGGUGGGGUGGAGGGAGUUCUGGAGCUCAGGGGCAAGAUGGGAAUGUUUGGGGAUUUAGUAGCAAGGGCGACAGUGCAGGAUGGGGAAGGGGAAAUGAUGGUGGCUCAAAUACCCCAGUGGUAUCUCAGGGAGUGAGGGAAGGAGGCAGUUCAGAAGCAGAGUGGUGUGGCACAGGGAGUGGGGUAAGUGCGGGUCAUUUAGCAAUAGGAAGUGGAAGGGGAGGAGAUGGUAGCAGCAACAGCAGCAGUAGUGGAGGCAGUGUUGGUGGCAGUGUUUUGCAGGACUCUGUCUCACCAAAGUUUGCAACUAUGACAAAAGCUUGGGACAAUCAGAAAGGGAUGGAAAGUGGGGAUGGAACAGUUGGGGAAUGGGGUGGGGGAGGAGGGCAGGGUGGAGGCACUGAAGGUGGAGGACCCUCAUCCUCUAGUGGAGGGGGUUCUAUAGCUGGAAGUGGUGGAGGAGAUAGUGGUAGCGGAGAAAAGGAGGAGAAAUCUGGACACCACCCCUCCCAUCAGUCCUCUAAUGCUGAAGUGGCCUUACUUAGCAUACUCAAUCGGUCUGACCUGGACCCCAGGGUUCUGUCUAAUACAGGCUGGGGGCAGACCCAGAUUCGACAGAAUGUGGCCUGGGACCUGGACACCACAACAGGGGUGGGAAACCGAAAUGAAAAAAGCACUACUUUGUCUUCUGCAUUCUCAUCAGCAAACAUGAACACUACCACCAGUCGUGGUCCUGGGUAUCCGUCGAACACCAGUUCAGUAACUAAUGAUCCAUCUGCUGGCAGUCAUUCAACCAGCCUAAACUCUGGUCCGGCUUCAGUGAGGGAAGGCUGGGAUGGAGGUGCUUCACAGUCUACCUGUCGUCCUCACAUGCCUAGUAGUGCUAUAAGGAAACCUGGAACGCCAGAAGAAGACAUGGAGGGCAAACAGGGAAAGGCAGCUGGAGGAUGGGGUGAUCUUCCACCUGAAAUCCAGGGCAAAAGAUGGGGGACUGAAGAACAAAAAUGGGGCGAUCACAGAGGAGGGGGGAACUGGAGAAACUUUGGAGAACAGGGUAGUGGAUGGGCAGAUGGUCCAGAAGAUAAAGGGACAGGUGGAUGGAAGGAGACUGGAAGAGGGGAGAAGGGUGCUUGGGUUGGGGAGUGGGGACAGAGAGACUCCAUACCUGGAGGAGGAUGGGGAGAUGGGCGAAGCAGAGGUGGAAACAGUUCUGAU
ensembl:lncRNA